rnacentral:rRNA from 1 species
CCUGAUCCAGCCAUGCCGCGUGAGUGAUGAAGGCCUUCGGGUUGUAAAGCUCUUUCGCACGCGACGAUGAUGACGGUAGCGUGAGAAGAAGCCCCGGCUAACUUCGUGCCAGCAGCCGCGGUAAUACGAAGGGGGCUAGCGUUGUUCGGAAUUACUGGGCGUAAAGGGCGCGUAGGCGGCUUAUCAAGUCAGGCGUGAAAGCCCCGGGCUUAACCUGGGAACUGCGCUUGAGACUGGUAGGCUAGAGUACCGGAGAGGUGGGUGGAAUUCCCAGUGUAGAGGUGAAAUUCGUAGAUAUUGGGAAGAACACCGGUGGCGAAGGCGGCCCACUGGACGGUAACUGACGCUGAGGCGCGAAAGCGUGGGGAGCAAACAGGAUUAGAUACCCUGGUAGUCCACGCCGUAAACGAUGUCGGCUAGACGUUGGGGCCCUUAGGGUUUCAGUGUCGCAGCUA